rnacentral:misc_RNA from 1 species
UACCAGCUCCAGAAGGGUCUGUGGUAGUUGCUGCAGUUAAAAGGUCCGCAGCCGGGGAGACGCACCGUGGGGAAAGCAGGCGGCUCAAAGGGAGAGCAGAGCACGGAAGAAGGGCAAAAAGGGGCAGAGAGGGGCAGGAGGAUUUGGCAGCCAGAGGUGAAAUUCGGAGACUUGUCGAGGACGGACAGAGGCGAAGGCGCCUGCCAGGGAUGCUUUCAUUGGUCAGGGACGAAAGCCGGAGGAUCGAAGACG